AUACGGAGGGCGCGAGCGUUAAUCGGAAUUACUGGGCGUAAAGCGUGCGUAGGCGGUUUGUUAAGUCAGAAGUGAAAGCCCUGGGCUCAACCUGGGAACGGCUUUUGAGACUGGCAGACUCGAGUUGAGUAGAGGGGAGUGGAAUUUCCGGUGUAGCGGUGAAAUGCGUAGAGAUCGGAAGGAACACCAGUGGCGAAGGCGACUCCCUGGACUCAAACUGACGCUGAGGUACGAAAGCGUGGGUAGCAAACAGGAUUAGAUACCCUAGUAGUCC
rnacentral:rRNA from 1 species